UGAGGAAUCUUGCACAAUGGGGGCAACCCUGAUGCAGCGACGCCGCGUGGGGGAAGACGCCCUUCGGGGUGUAAACCCCUUUUCUGGGGGACGAGGGAGGAACGGUACCCCAGGAAUGAAUGCCAACGGCUAAUCUACCGUG
rnacentral:rRNA from 1 species